CGCGCUUGGUUCCCGCCGCGGCGAUGGACGCGAAGUACUGGAUGACACGUUUCGUGUUCACCGUUUUCCCCGCGCCGGACUCGCCACUGUCCAUCACAGAGACGGACACAGGGAGAUGGACACAGACGGAGGACGUGGAGCCGAGUGGACUUGCCGAUGCCUGGUACCAGCGGUGUCAAGAUCGGCCUCUGUGAAGGAGGCUCGUGAAGGACGCUACUGGGCAGUUGGAGGCAGUCGCCCUCCAACAACAACGGAGGGCGGAGGAGUGACGCUCACAACAACGAGCGGAGCGCCGGGUGGCUAAAGCACAGCAAGUUAACACAAGCUCACUUGGCCCUCCUCCGUCUCCACGGUGUACUUGCCGCCCUCCACGCUCUGCACGAGGGCCUUUACGAACUCGACCUUGGGGUGAGGGACGUAGACGUUCUUCUUCAUGUCGAAGGGCCGCGUCUGUGCCUCCAGACGCUCCUUAUCCGACUUACGCAGGAAGGGCGCCGCCUCUCCGAACUCCGACAGGUGAUGUGCAGCGGAGGGGCACGUGGCCAGAACAGCCUGCGCAGACAACGCAUCAUCAUCAUCAUCGUGUGAGCCAUGCUCGAUUCACGACUGGAUGAAUGUCUCCCGAAAGCUCGUCGUCAUCGCUCAACGUUACGUGAUGCAAGAGAUACCAUCUGCACUGCCAAGCCCGCUGAAUAGUCACUGGGCCAGAACAAUGAUUUGUACAACCUAAAUAUCAUAACUUUACUCGUACCAAUGUUGUUAUACGGCUAAUACGAGUGAAUCGUUUGAUAACUCACUCCAUCUCGAGCGGUUGUCACAUAAUUUACUGUUAUCGGUCGUGCCGAUAAUUAUCAACCGCUACAGUCUUGCCACCUCAGGGGGUGGUUAACCAAGAAGUUAAACAUCUGGUCUGGGCUCGUGGACUAAGAAGUCCCAGCAAACCCUUCUGAUCUCGUGUGGAAAGACCCCUGAUGGCAAAGAAGGACGAUCAGCAAUCGGUAGGUGGAAAUGCUGGGUGGCCUGCGACGUCUUGAACAAGGAACUCCUCCAAGUUCCGACGCAGGAACGAGAGCCAGCUUCAGCCCGCAUAGAAGCCAAUGAAUGGGCUGCACUCAAUCGUGUGUUCGAACGAUGCACAGCAGCUGCAGAAUAUGUCCUUCGCAAAUGGGGAAAUGAAAGAUUAACACUAUUGUAUCGUCUUCUUGGUUCUUUCGGUAAAGUCACGUAGAAGGGAAAUAAUAAAAUAAUAAUAAAAGCAUAAUAUUUUAUUAUUAAAUAAAACAAUAUUUUAUUAUGUUUUUUUUAUUUCCCUUCUACGCGAAAAAUGAAACAUAAUAAAAGAUUAUGUUUUAUUUUUAUUAUUUUAUUAUUUCCCUUCUACGUGACUUUACCGAAAGAACCAAGAAGAUGAAUCCCUGCUGUCACGAAAGCUUUAAAUCGAAUAUUGUAAGUGUGCAAUCUGUUCAUCACGUAACUAACUGACCAUCUGCCCAUCAUACACAGGAGGCACGGACACUACACUUUGAGUUUAUUGUUAGAUAAGUAAAUAUUAUAGGAACGCCCGAUGCCCACCAACGAACUGAUUACCAAAACUUGGGCACGCACAAUGUCGUAUCACUCUUCAGAUGUCAUGCAAAAGUAAAUAUGCGACACUCUCCAAAUACCCCCUCCUCCAUCCUCCCAUCCCAAUAACCCCUCCCACUGCCCUCCAAAUGCCACCUCCCCUUGCCCCUGCUCCCAGUGUCAUUGUUUUUUGUUGUCUCUAUCGUUCUGUCGGCUGUGUGUGGGGGGGGGGGGUGUUGGGUGGGAGGUUCGGGGUAGAGAGUGUGGCUGGGUGGGGGUUAGGUAUUCGUGGUGUGGGGGGGGGGUUGGACAGGAGUCAUUCUGGGCAACGUGACUCAUCUCCAUUACAGCAGUGAUCUUAACCUCUACUCCCAAAAGCGGAGGUCACGGGAGAGAGUGGAAUGGUUGCAGGGAUGGAUGUAGGGAGAGAGGGAGGGAGUGAGGGCAGGACAGAAGGGAGAGAUGGAGCGAGGGGAGGAUGGACAGACUUUUUGACUUGAUACAGCAGUCGUGCUGUGACGGUUCCACCUGAAGAUGGAAGCUUGUGUUGCCUCCGAAACGUCGUGAUUGUUAUUUUACUUUUAUUAAUUUUAAUUUUUUACCUACGUGACUUUACCGAAAAAACCCAGAAUAUGAAUCCUUGCAGUCACGAAAGCUUCAAAUCUAGAAUUUAGAAACAACUUUUAUUGCCGCCAGCAGUAAAAGCACUGGAGGCGAUUUCGAUGUGAAACACACAAAGUCACCAGCAAACAAAUGAAGAUUAACGCUACAAAUCCACGCGCUGUGGCGCUAAAUGCACCGCGCACAACACGGAAGAAAAGUCACGUGGUGGUGGUCAUCGCGCACGCCACGGUGACGAGCGAGCGCUUCAGAAGGUGAACACCACGAGGGUGCCGUCCACGCUGGUACAGAGAGGGGCUUGUCCGGCUCCCCAGGCAGGGACGGUUAGAUGAUAGUAGUAAGGGAAUGAGAGUGGGAUGCAUGGAGGGAGGGAGGGAGCGAAGGAGGGAAUGAGGAAUGGAUUGAAGCAGAAAGGGAUGGAUGAAGGAAGGGAGAGGGAGGGGUGGGGGGGCAAGCGAGGUUCCACUGCCUUUUGUUGCCCUAUGAGUUGACGAGCAGGGCUUUGUUUAUCUGUGACACUUGGCACAGCCUUUCACAUGUUAAUACAAUCAUCCUGGUUUGGCGUCUGGCCUAGGUCUAUAUUUUAUUAGGAGCCCACCCCUAUCCCUCAAUUCCUCACCCUCCCCCUCCACUGAUCCUGUCUGCCCUCCUGGGAGAGAAUGAUUGGUUGUUAAUUUUAAACAAGAUUCAUGAUGUGAACAACUGAGCGAGGGGGAGGGGUCAAAUGUAUGUGUGGAAGAAGGGGAAUGCAUCAGUAAUCUCACCCCAAUCUAUCAUUCCUCCCUUAUUUAAUCAUUUUUUGCUUGGCUUGUAAUGAUCAGUGUCGCCAUUAGCAGCAUCGCCGUUAUCAUUAGUGGUAUCGUUCCUACUAUCAGUAUCAGCAGUAGCAGUCUUUGCCCGGCCAAAGCAAUAAUUUAACACUGAACACCUCUUCCUAGUACACACACCGCACAAGUUCUUUUAUAUCUGCGGUGAAGUACUCGGUCUCUACUUCACUGAGCUCCAGGACAGACUCCAGCAUUGAGUUGCACCACAUAACCAAACCCAGGCCCAAGGAACAACGUGAAUUUAUUUUAACACGUCGGCUAUUUAUGCGAUAUAACCCCCCAAAAACAUGUAUUAUGGAUAACGUUAAUAAUAAUUUUUAAGAUUUUGAUUUAAAGCUCUCGUGACUGCAGGGAUUCAUAUUCUUGGUUCUUUUGGU